rnacentral:rRNA from 1 species
UACGUAGGGCGCAAGCGUUAUCCGGAAUUAUUGGGCGUAAAGAGCUCGUAGGCGGUUUGUCGCGUCUGCCGUGAAAGUCCGGGGCUCAACUCCGGAUCUGCGGUGGGUACGGGCAGACUAGAGUGAUGUAGGGGAGACUGGAAUUCCUGGUGUAGCGGUGAAAUGCGCAGAUAUCGGGAGGAACACCAGUAGCGAAGGCGACACUCUGGGCCGAUACUGACGCUGAGGAGCGAAAGCGUGGGGAGCGAACAGG